AAAGCGAAGCCGCGAGGCGGAGCAAAUCUCAAAAAUAACGUCUCAGUUCGGACUGUAGUCUGCAACCCGACUACACGAAGCUGGAAUCGCUAGUAAUCGCGAAUCAGAAUGUCGCGGUGAGUACGUUCCCGGGUCUUGUACACACCGCCCGUCACACCAUGGGAGCUGGUAAUGCCCGAAGUCAGUGACCCAACCGCAAGGAGGGAGCUGCCGAAGGCAGGACUGAUAACUGGGGUGAAGUCGUAACAAGGUAUC
rnacentral:rRNA from 1 species